rnacentral:lncRNA from 1 species
UUUACAAAUUAUUCCAUCCUUGUAUUUUAAUACGAUACACGGAGCAUGUAGAUUCCUAAGGCUUAGAUGACAUUAAUAGUUAAUACUGAAAUAGAAAAGUGUAGUUUAUGAUUAAUUUAAAAGACCAUUCAUAGUCUACCAUAUGAAACUAUAUAUAUAGUAGUCCAGUUUAUGGGGUUAUUCCUUCUUAAUUAAUAUGAAAUCAAAUGGACAAGAACCUAGUGGAGCUUUGCCUAACAACGUUGGAGAAGCAUAAUUAACAUCUCGUCGUGUGUAAACUGCAACCUUCUUUCUUUUUUCCUUUUCUUUUUUUUUUCUUUUGCUCUAGGAAAGGACAUACUACGUUUUAUGCUAAAGUUAUACUCCCUCCGUUUUUUAUUAUAAGUCGUUUUAGAGAAACUUUUUUGUUCCAAAUUAUAUGUCGUUUUCGGUUUUUUAUGUAAAAUUUAUUAAUAAUUAAUGUUGUAUGACCAAUAGUAAUAUAUCUUCUAUUUUUCUAUUGGUUGAAUUGUGGUUAGGUAAAUAAUUAAUGAUGUUUUUGUUUAGAAAAUAUAAGAAAUUAAUGGUUUUCUUAAUCUAUGUGCAUAGCUGUAAAACGACUUAUAUUAAAAAACGGAGGGAGUAUAAAACAUGCUCAUUGAAUAAACUUGAUAGCAAAACUGCAUAAUUUUAGUCAAUUGGCUGAAUGACUCAUGUUGGAGGUUGAAGGACCAUGAUUAGAAUUCUUCAAAUAUGAUUUCAAUCAUGGUUGACCACUGUUUGAUGUAUAAAAUAACAAUAACACAUGAUGCUCCACAGAUUUUGAGAAGUGCACUAAACAUUGGUUCUUCCACUCCACUCCAUUUGAAUUUGGGGUUUUACCGAACAAUUGUGAGGCGGGGAGGGAGGGGCACCAUAUGACUACUCCAUCACAUACAUUUUCGAAUUUUGAGAAUUUUGUUGUUAAAUGAGAGAACCAGAGUCGGAUACACUAUCGUACCUAGGAAUUCACACAGUACUGUAAGGUGAAAAAGUAACUUUCCCACUCUUGUUAAAGAUCAACUUAGGUUUGGCUAGUUUUCUUG